GGUUAAGCGACUAAGCGUACACGGUGGAUGCCCUGGCAGUCAGAGGCGAUGAAGGACGUGCUAAUCUGCGAAAAGCGUCGGUAAGGUGAUAUGAACCGUUAUAACCGGCGAUGUCCGAAUGGGGAAACCCAGUGUGAUUCGUCACACUAUCGUUAACUGAAUACAUAGGUUAACGAGGCGAACCGGGGGAACUGAAACAUCUAAGUACCCCGAGGAAAAGAAAUCAACCGAGAUUCCCCCAGUAGCGGCGAGCGAACGGGGAGCAGCCCAGAGUCUGAAUCAGCUUGUGUGUUAGUGGAACGGUCUGGAAAGUCCGACGGUACAGGGUGAUAGUCCCGUACACCAAAAUGCACAGGUUGUGAACUCGAAGAGUAGGGCGGGACACGUGGUAUCCUGUCUGAAUAUGGGGGGACCAUCCUCCAAGGCUAAAUACUCCUGACUGACCGAUAGUGAACCAGUACCGUGAGGGAAAGGCGAAAAGAACCCCGGCGAGGGGAGUGAAAAAGAACCUGAAACCGUGUACGUACAAGCAGUGGGAGCACCUUCGGGUGUGACUGCGUACCUUUUGUAUAAUGGGUCAGCGACUUAUAUUCUGUAGCAAGGUUAACCGUAUAGGGGAGCCGCAGGGAAACCGAGUCUUAACUGGGCGUUAAGUUGCAGGGUAUAGACCCGAAACCCGGUGAUCUAGCCAUGGGCAGGUUGAAGGUUGGGUAACACUAACUGGAGGACCGAACCGACUAAUGUUGAAAAAUUAGCGGAUGACUUGUGGCUGGGGGUGAAAGGCCAAUCAAACCGGGAGAUAGCUGGUUCUCCCCGAAAGCUAUUUAGGUAGCGCCUCGUGAAUUCAUCUUCGGGGGUAGAGCACUGUUUCGGCUAGGGGGUCAUCCCGACUUACCAACCCGAUGCAAACUACGAAUACCGAAGAAUGUUAUCACGGGAGACACACGGCGGGUGCUAACGUCCGUCGUGAAGAGGGAAACAACCCAGACCGCCAGCUAAGGUCCCAAAGUCAUGGUUAAGUGGGAAACGAUGUGGGAAGGCACAGACAGCCAGGAUGUUGGCUUAGAAGCAGCCAUCAUUUAAAGAAAGCGUAAUAGCUCACUGGUCGAGUCGGCCUGCGCGGAAGAUGUAACGGGGCUAAACCAUGCACCGAAGCUGCGGCAGCGACACUAUGUGUUGUUGGGUAGGGGAGCGUUCUGUAAGCCUGCGAAGGUGACCUGUGAGGGUUGCUGGAGGUAUCAGAAGUGCGAAUGCUGACAUAAGUAACGAUAAAGCGGGUGAAAAGCCCGCUCGCCGGAAGACCAAGGGUUCCUGUCCAACGUUAAUCGGGGCAGGGUGAGUCGACCCCUAAGGCGAGGCCGAAAGGCGUAGUCGAUGGGAAACAGGUUAAUAUUCCUGUACUUGGUGUUACUGCGAAGGGGGGACGGAGAAGGCUAUGUUAGCCGGGCGACGGUUGUCCCGGUUUAAGCAUGUAGGCUGGUUGUCCAGGCAAAUCCGGAUAAUCAAGGCUGAGGUGUGAUGACGAGGCACUACGGUGCUGAAGUAACAAAUGCCCUGCUUCCAGGAAAAGCCUCUAAGCAUCAGGUAACAUCAAAUCGUACCCCAAACCGACACAGGUGGUCAGGUAGAGAAUACCAAGGCGCUUGAGAGAACUCGGGUGAAGGAACUAGGCAAAAUGGUGCCGUAACUUCGGGAGAAGGCACGCUGGUGUGUAGGUGAAGUCCCUGCGGAUGGAGCUGAGACCAGUCGAAGAUACCAGCUGGCUGCAACUGUUUAUUAAAAACACAGCACUGUGCAAACACGAAAGUGGACGUAUACGGUGUGACGCCUGCCCGGUGCCGGAAGGUUAAUUGAUGGGGUUAUCCGUAAGGAGAAGCUCUUGAUCGAAGCCCCGGUAAACGGCGGCCGUAACUAUAACGGUCCUAAGGUAGCGAAAUUCCUUGUCGGGUAAGUUCCGACCUGCACGAAUGGCGUAAUGAUGGCCAGGCUGUCUCCACCCGAGACUCAGUGAAAUUGAACUCGCUGUGAAGAUGCAGUGUACCCGCGGCAAGACGGAAAGACCCCGUGAACCUUUACUAUAGCUUGACACUGAACAUUGAGCCUUGAUGUGUAGGAUAGGUGGGAGGCUUUGAAGCGUGGACGCCAGUCUGCGUGGAGCCAACCUUGAAAUACCACCCUUUAAUGUUUGAUGUUCUAACGUUGGCCCCUUACCGGGGUUGCGGACAGUGUCUGGUGGGUAGUUUGACUGGGGCGGUCUCCUCCCAAAGCGUAACGGAGGAGCACGAAGGUUAGCUAAUCCUGGUCGGACAUCAGGAGGUUAGUGCAAUGGCAUAAGCUAGCUUGACUGCGAGCGUGACGGCGCGAGCAGGUGCGAAAGCAGGUCAUAGUGAUCCGGUGGUUCUGAAUGGAAGGGCCAUCGCUCAACGGAUAAAAGGUACUCCGGGGAUAACAGGCUGAUACCGCCCAAGAGUUCAUAUCGACGGCGGUGUUUGGCACCUCGAUGUCGGCUCAUCACAUCCUGGGGCUGAAGUAGGUCCCAAGGGUAUGGCUGUUCGCCAUUUAAAGUGGUACGCGAGCUGGGUUUAGAACGUCGUGAGACAGUUCGGUCCCUAUCUGCCGUGGGCGCUGGAGAAUUGAGGGGGGCUGCUCCUAGUACGAGAGGACCGGAGUGGACGCAUCACUGGUGUUCGGGUUGUCAUGCCAAUGGCACUGCCCGGUAGCUAAAUGCGGAAGAGAUAAGUGCUGAAAGCAUCUAAGCACGAAACUUGCCCCGAGAUGAGUUCUCCCUGAGACUUUAAGUCUCCUGAAGGAACGUUGAAGACGACGACGUUGAUAGGCCGGGUGUGUAAGCGCAGCGAUGCGUUGAGCUAACCGGUACUAAUGAACCGUGAGGCUUAACCUU
rnacentral:rRNA from 1 species